rnacentral:rRNA from 1 species
AGCGAACGCUGGCGGCAGGCCUAACACACGCAAGUCGAGCGCCCCGCAAGGGGAGCGGCAGACGGGAGAGUAACACGUGGGAACGUACCCUUCGGUUCGGAACAACCCAGGGAAACUUGGGCUAAUACCGGAUACGUCCGAAAGGAGAAAGAUUCAUCGCCGAAGGAUCGGCCCGCGUCUGUGUAGCUAGUUGGUGGGGUAAUGGCCCACCAAGGAGACGAUCAGUAGCUGGUCUGAGAGGAUGAUCAGCCUCACUGGGACUGAGACACGGCCCAGACUCCUACGGGAGGCAGCAGUGGGGAAUAUUGGACAAUGGGUGCAAGCCUGAUCCAGCCAUGCCGCGUGGGUGAUGAAGGACCUAGGGUUGUAAAGCCCUUUCGGCGGGGAAGAUAAUGACGGUACCCGCAGAAGAAGCCCCGGCUAACUUCGUGCCAGCCGCCGCAGUAAUAC